CAGUCGGAGAUCACACGGGGGCCAUAUUUCGGUCAUUUGGUAGAAGACAUGAGUCAGCAAAGCAACAGCGUUUUCCCCCAUAUGGAGAGUGACAGAUGGCACCAUUUCAUGCCUCCAUAAGUCCACAAGGCGAAAUGGACUGUGACGCAGCUUCUUCACAGCCAAUUUCAGCUGGCUCAUAUCGGCAAGAACCCCCCCCCCCCCCCCCCCCAAAAAAACAAACAAAAAAAAAAAACAAUAGCACCCUGACUAUUGACAACAAUUCUGACAACAGCUCUUGAGUGAUGACGAUAAAUUACUCAAGAACAGGCCAAGACUGACAGAACAGAAGGUUGGAACAAAUGGCCACAUCAUCUAUUGUCAUAAAGGCACAGUAAAUAGUCACUGCGUCUGAAU